GAACUUACCUGGACGGGGUCAGCUCGUGAUCAAGAAGACGAGUGGCCUAGGCUGGUGACUUCCAUUGCACAUACUGGAAGGGUGCUAUGCUUAAGGUCUUCCCUUAACAAAAA
rnacentral:snRNA from 1 species